rnacentral:rRNA from 1 species
UGGGACUUCGGUCCUGAUGGCGACCGGCGCACGGGUGAGUAACGCGUACACGACCUACCUUUAACUGGAGGAUAGCCCUGGGAAACUGGGAUUAAUACUGCAUAAAAUUAUAAGUAAUAGAGGUUUAUAAUCAAAGCUUCGGCGGUUAAAGAUGGGUGUGCGUUCCAUUAGCUAGUUGGUAAGGUAACGGCUUACCAAGGCGACGAUGGGUAGGGGGCGUGAGAGCGUGAUCCCCCACACGGGUACUGAGACACGGACCCG